GACGAACGCUGGCGGCGUGCUUAACACAUGCAAGUCGAACGGCAAGGCACUGCGUGUGUGGGGUGCUCGAGGGGCGAACGGGUGAGUAACACGAGUGUAACCUGACCUAGACUUUGGUGUAAGUUAAGGAAACUGAGGCUAAUAUAGGAUAGGAGCCGCUCUUCCAUGGUGGGGGUUGGAAAGUUUCGGCGGUUGGGGAUGGACGCGCGGCUUAUCAGCUUGCUGGUGGGGUAGUGGCUUACCAAGGCUUGGACGGGUAGCCGGCCUGGGAGGGUGACCGGCCACAAUGGGACUGAGGGACGGCGCAGACUCCUACGGGAGACAGCAGUGGCGAAUAUUACACAGUGGUCCGAAGCCUGAGGCAGCAACGUCGCGUGCGUGAUGACGGCCUUCGGGUUGUAAACCGCUUUCGCCUGAGACGAAGCUUGAGUGACGGUAAUGGGUAAAGAAGCACCGGCUAACUACGUG
rnacentral:rRNA from 1 species